UGCUGAUAUGGGCUCAGUUGGUAGAGCGCACCCUUGGUAAGGGUGAGGUCCCCAGUUCGACUCUGGUAUCAGCACC
rnacentral:tRNA from 1 species